UACGUAGGGUGCGAGCGUUGUCCGGAAUUAUUGGGCGUAAAGAGCUCGUAGGCGGCUUGUCGCGUCGGAUGUGAAAGCCCGGGGCUUAACUCCGGGUCUGCAUUCGAUACGGGCAGGCUAGAGUUCGGUAGGGGAGAUCGGAAUUCCUGGUGUAGCGGUGAAAUGCGCAGAUAUCAGGAAGAACACCAAUGGCGAAGGCAGCUCUCUGGGACGGUACUGACGCUGAGACGCGAAAGCGUGGGGAGCGAACAGG
rnacentral:rRNA from 1 species